GAAAAGAGUAAUUGAUAGAAGUGUUGCAUUUCAACGUAUCUAUAAUAAUUAUAUUAUUUUAAAAGUUUUAAAAAGUAAAUUCAACGAAGUUUUUGUUGGUGACACUUUGACAAUUGAGUUUUUUUUUCGAACGUCAUCAAAAACAACAAGGUUCUUCUUAAACAGCCUUGCACUUCUUUAGUUUUUGUUACGAGAUAAUAGUAUAAAAUCAUCGAUUUGUCUGAACAGAUCAUAGUUUAGUUGAUCUAUUCAUCUAAAUACUUACUUUCCACGUUUUAAUAUUAAAUAAAACAAAAUGCCGGCCCCGUGUGAACCCUGCAAAGAUAAAUGCAGCGACAGUUCCGAUUGUAAGGACAAAUGUGAGAAUGACUGCACAGCGGACUGCUCGACGACCGGCGGUGACUGCUGCUGACUGUUGAUAUAACGUCUUACGACAAAGUUAAUUUCAUUUACAUAAACCGGAACUAUUUGAACAAACAUUACUGUAUUUUAUUUCGGUGUUAUGUAAUAAUAAAAAUUUGGUGUUCCUAAA